rnacentral:rRNA from 1 species
AGUGAACGCUGGCGGUAGGCCUAACACAUGCAAGUCGAACGGCAGCACAGUAAGAGCUUGCUCUUACGGGUGGCGAGUGGCGGACGGGUGAGGAAUACAUCGGAAUCUACUUUUUCGUGGGGGAUAACGUAGGUAAACUUACGCUAAUACCGCAUACGACCUACGGGUGAAAGCAGGGGAUCUUCGGACCUUGCGCGAUUGAAUGAGCCGAUGUCGGAUUAGCUAGUUGGCGGGGUAAAGGCCCACCAAGGCGACGAUCCGUAGCUGGUCUGAGAGGAUGAUCAGCCACACUGGAACUGAGACACGGUCCAGACUCCUACGGGAGGCAGCAGUGGGGAAUAUUGGACAAUGGGCGCAAGCCUGAUCCAGCCAUACCGCGUGAGUGAAGAAGGCCUUCGGGUUGUAAAGCCCUUUUGUUGGGAAAGAAAAGCAGCAGGUGAAUACCCCGAUGUUCUGACGGUACCCAAAGAAUAAGCACCGGCUAACUUCGUG